rnacentral:misc_RNA from 1 species
AUGAAAAGCGGCAGGGAAACAA